GGGGCAGGCACAGCUGGAAGGGGGAAGGGAAGGGACGCCUCCUGCUGAUUCUACGGAAUCCUGAGGCUUGUCGGGAGAUCAGAACCGAUCGAGGGAGUUCUGGCUUAGUUUGACAAAGUUAGCGACAGAAGUGAGGACUUGAGGAGACUUGAGCCCAGGGAGUGGGACAAAGGGACUCCCCUGCGUGGCUACCUGUCCAUUCACAAUGGCCUCCAUUCAUAAAGAGGGCUUUGGAGGAUCUUGAAAUUCCACUUAGUGCCCUAUGGGACCACAGAACUCUGAUCUAACCACUGAAUUUUCUAGUCUAUUCGUCUGCUCUUACCUUCAACAAUGUAAGAUUGCUGCUAAAAAUCAUGGGACUGCAUCUUCCCAGACUUAAUAACUAGAAGGAGGAGGAGGAGGAGGAGGAAGAGGAGGAGGAGGAGGAGGAGGAGGAGGAGGAAGAGGAGGAAGAGGAGGCGGAGGAGAAGAAGAAGAAGAGAAGAAGAAGAAGAAGAAGAAGAAGAAGAAGAAGAAGAAGAAGAAGAAGAAGAAGAAGAAGAAGAAGAAGAAGAACUGAGUGAGGCUUCUGAACAUGUCUGGGAUUUGAGAUCAUUCAAUUCAAGCGCCCCCCCCCCCAAAAAAAGGGGAAAAAAUCGAUGAGGCCAGCCAGAGGAUUGACUAGACCUGAACCAACCACUUUGGCUAAGAGAAUCAUGUGUGCUGGUCACACCUGAGUGCCUUGUGCCCUCCUAGAGAGCAACUAGAACCCAGUGAGCUGGAAGGGGGAGCAGAGGGAGAAGUUCCUCAAGGGAUGUUUCAGGCACUAACACCAUGUGAAGAAAUGGCAAGUGGCAGGGGUAGAGAGGCUGUACAUUCUUGUACAUACACACACACAUGCACACACAAUCUUUUACAAAAAUGAUCAAGAUAAAAUUCAACUGGGUUAUGGAUGGAAUCAGUGGCAGGUGCAAGACCCUAAAUGUAAUCACCAGUACCACAAACAACUACAGGGGCUCGUCUCCAGCUGGACGUGGUGGUCCACGCCUUUGAUCCCAGGAAGACAGAGGCAGGAGGAUCUCUGUGAGUUACAUAGUAAAUUCCAGAUCCACAUAGUGAGACCCUGACUCAAAAAAAGCAAACAGGGCUGGAGAGAUGGCUCAGUGGUUAAGAGCACCCGACUGCUCUUCCAGAGGUCAUGAGUUCAAUUCCCAGCAACCACAUGGUGGCUCACAACCAUCUGUAAAGAGAUCCGAUUCCCUCUAAUGGUGUGUCUGAAGACAGCUACAGUGUACUUAUAUAUAAUAAAUGAAUAAAUCUUUAAAAAAAAAAGCAAACAAACAAAA